rnacentral:rRNA from 1 species
UACGUAGGUGGCAAGCGUUGUCCGGAUUUAUUGGGUUUAAAGGGUGCGUAGGCGGUCUUAUAAGUCAGUGCUGAAAUAUCCCGGCUUAACCGGGAGGGUGGCAUUGAUACUGUAGGACUUGAGUGAAGUCGAGGUAGGCGGAAUUGACGGUGUAGCGGUGAAAUGCUUAGAUAUCGUCAAGAACACCAAUAGUGAAGACAGUUACUAGACUCAACUGACGCUGAGGCACGAAAGUGUGGGAUCAAACAGG